AAAUUGUCCACUGUAUUUUUGCAAACAAAUAUUGUUUAUUAAAUAGCGGUGCUAAGGCACGAAAUGACAGUAUUUCGGGCAUCACAUUUGGGUGAGAAUCCAAAAUAAAUAACAAUGCUCUAUCAACUUCCACCUCAAUGAGUUUCUGACCUAAGUACUGAGGGUCUAAUAAAUAAGCUAAAUAAUGCGCAUCUGUUAUAGCCAUUUGAUAACGUGCUUCUGCUUUAUGAAGUUCCAACACGUUGCUACAACCGUUAGGUUGAGCUUCACUUUCACUUUGGAAAUAACCCAGUAAGUUCUUCCAAAUGUCUGUUGCAUCUGCUAUGAUGCAGGUAUUUUUCUGGCAUUUAUCCAAAGCUGUUGCAACAACUUUCAGCUUUGCGUUACACUGUAUACACUGCAACUAUCCACUAGAAAUUAAAAUAGAACCAAAGAUACCAAUAUGAAAUUAUAAUAAAGCAGAAGUUAAAGCUUUCGACAUAUCCUGAAAAACUGAAUAGCGAAUGUGAUUUACAUAUACAUAAUAUCACGUGGUAUAAGGAAACGAAACAGUUAAACACUCGUUGCAUGUGCGCGCAGGUCGCGUCUUCCCGGGAAUCCCAUAGGUGUGCCAGUUGAGGUUUAUGGGAAUCCCCGUUAGAAAUCCAGUGAAGUACUUAAUUAUUUUAAAACGUUCUUUUGUUUU
rnacentral:lncRNA from 1 species